CCUACGGGAGGCAGCAGUGAGGAAUAUUGGUCAAUGGCCGUAAGGCUGAACCAGCCAAGUCGCGUGAAGGCAGAAGGAUCUAUGGUUUGUAAACUUCUUUUAUAGGGGACUAAAGGUAUCCACGUGUGGCUAUUUGCAUGUACCCUCUGAUUACGCAUCGGCUAACUCCGUGCCAGCAGCCGCGGUAAUACGGAGGAUGCGAGCGUUAUCCGGAUUUUUUGGGUUUAAAGGGUGCGUAGGUUGUUUUUUAAGGCAGCGGGGAAAGUUUGUGGCUCAACCAUAAACUUGCCGUUGGAACUGGAAGACUUGAGUGUGUUUGAGGUAGGCGGAAUGCGUGGGGUAGCGGUGAAAUGCAAAGAGAUCACGCAGAACUCCGAUUGCGAAGGCAGCUUACUAAGCCAUAACUGACACUGAAGCACGAAAGCGUGGGGAUCAAACAGGAUUAGAUACCCCUGGUAGUC
rnacentral:rRNA from 1 species